rnacentral:rRNA from 1 species
AGGGCACCACCAGGAGUGGAGCCUGCGGCAUAAUUUGACUCAACACGGGAAAACUCACCCGGCCCGGACACUGGAAGGAUUGACAGAUUGAGAGCUCUUUCUUGAUUCAGUGGGUGGUGGUGCAUGGCCGUUCUUAGUUGGUGGAGUGAUUUGUCUGGUUAAUUCCGAUAACGAACGAGACUCUAGCCUACUAAAUAGAUCGUCGGCUUACAAACGCCGGCGAGACUUCUUAGAGGGACAGGCGGUGAUUCAACCGCACGAAACAGAGCAAUAACAGGUCUGUGAUGCCCUUAGAUGUCCGGGGCCGCACGCGCGCUACACUGAAGUGAUCAGCGUGCUUUUUCAACCUACUCUGUCAAGAGUGGGGAACCCAAUGAACCUUCUUCGUGAUUGGGAUAGGGGAUUGUAAUUAUUCCCCUUGAACGAGGAAUUCCCAGUAAGCGCGAGUCAUAAGCUCGCGUUGAUUACGUCCCUGCCCUUUGUACACACCGCCCGUCGCUACUACCGAUUGAAUGUUUU